UAGGCCAAUUGGCAGAGCCUUGUAGUUUCUUCUGAAUCAAACUGCCAUUGCUGAUUCAUAAAUAGGGUUUGCAAGUGGAUAGAGCUACUGCUGGUGAUUAGUGUAAACUGAACUGCUGAUAUUCGGACAAUGAAGAUUGGAUUCAUCCCAAAGAAUUGUUUCUAAAGAGGUCCACAUCCUUCUUUGUCCUAUUAACCUUUCCUUUCCAGUACCACUGUGAAAGAAGACCCUUGUUGGAAUACUGCUUUGGGCUAAGGAAAUUAGAACUACUGUAUGACAUGGUAGAAGCUUCUAUAUUAUAUACUCAUCUAUGUUUAUCUCUCUACAAGAGAUCCAUGAACCUUGAGUGAAGAGGGUUGAUGAAAACAUCCCACUUAGGACUGAGUGGUCUCAAGCCUCUCACUCUUUGAGCAUCGUCCAGCUCUGGAUCUCUGUUAGUUUCCAUCUCCCGCAGGAUGGAGCUUCAGGAGAGCCAGGAUUCCUUCUGCGAGGUACCCUUCCAUGUUUAAGGCUUUGGACUAAGGUACUUGGUAAUAAACACACAUAAUCUCC